rnacentral:rRNA from 1 species
GGAAGGUGCAAGCGUUAAUCGGGAAUUACUGGGGCGGUAAAGCGCGCGUAGGCGGCUAGAUAAGUCGGGGGUGUGAAAGCCCUGGGGCUCAACCUGGGGAACUGCAUUCGAUACUGUCUAGCUAGAGUGUGGUAGAGGGAGGCGGAAUUCCGCAUGUAGCGGUGAAAUGCGUAGAGAUGCGGAGGAACACCAAUGGCGAAGGCAGCCUUCUGGACCAACACUGACGCUGAGGCGCGAAAGCGUGGGGAGCAAACAGGAUUAGAUACCCUGGUAGUCCACGCCGUAAACGAUGUCAACUAGCCGUUGGGAGCAAUUUGGUUCUUGGUGGCGCAGCUAACGCGAUAAGUUGACCGCCUGGGGAGUACGGUCGCAAGAUUA